UCCAGACUCCUACGGGAGGCAGCAGUGGGGAAUAUUGGGCAAUGGGCGCAAGCCUGACCCAGCAACGCCGCGUGAAGGAAGAAGGCUUUCGGGUUGUAAACUUCUUUUCUCAGGGACGAAGCAAGUGACGGUACCUGAGGAAUAAGCCACGGCUAACUACGUGCCAGCAGCCGCGGUAAUACGUAGGUGGCAAGCGUUAUCCGGAUUUACUGGGUGUAAAGGGCGUGUAGGCGGGAAAGCAAGUCAGAUGUGAAAACCAUGGGCUCAGCCUGUGGCCUGCAUUUGAAACUGUUUUUCUUGAGUACUGGAGAGGCAGACGGAAUUCCUAGUGUAGCGGUGAAAUGCGUAGAUAUAAGGAAGAACACCAGUGGCGAAGGCGGAUUACUGGACGAUAACUGACGGUGAGGCGCGAAAGCGUGGGGAGCAAACAGGAUUAGAUACCCCCGUA
rnacentral:rRNA from 1 species